GCCGCUGUAGCUCAGUUGGUAGAGCAGCGCUUUUGUAAAGCGCGGGUCGCAGGUUCAAGUCCUGUCAGCGGCU
rnacentral:tRNA from 2 species